rnacentral:rRNA from 1 species
UGGGGAAUAUUGGACAAUGGGGGCAACCCUGAUCCAGCAAUGCCGCGUGAGUGAUGAAGGCCUUAGGGUUGUAAAGCUCUUUUACCGGGGACGAUGAUGACGGUACCCGGAGAAUAAGCCCCGGCUAACUUCGUGCCAGCAGCCGCGGUAAUACGAAGGGGGCGAGCGUUGUUCGGAGUUACUGGGCGUAAAGGGCGCGUAGGCGGCGCUCCAAGUUAGGCGUGAAAGCCCCGGGCUCAACCUGGGAAUUGCGCUUAAGACUGGAGUGCUCGAGUGCGGAAGAGGUGAGUGGAAUUCCCAGUGUAGAGGUGAAAUUCGUAGAUAUUGGGAAGAACACCAGUGGCGAAGGCGGCUCACUGGUCCGCAACUGACGCUGAGGCGCGAAAGCGUGGGGAGCAAACAGG